ensembl:snRNA U1 U1 spliceosomal RNA
ACAUUUCUAAUGCUGACACCAGAUUCGCCAGAUAAUGACUUACAAACACCAUACAGGGUGGUGCUGACCCUUGCGAAUUCCCCAAAUGCGGGAAUCUCGACUGCAUAAUUUCUGGUAGUGGGGGACUGCGUUCGCGCUCUCCCCUG